rnacentral:rRNA from 1 species
GAUGAACGCUGGCGGCGUGCUUAAUACAUGCAAGUCGAGCGGACGGGCCCGAAGCGUGCUACUCGGAUGUUGGCGGCGGACGGGACAGGAACAUGAGGAUAACCCACCUAUAAGACUGGGAUAAGUUCGGGAAACCGUAGCUAGUACUGGGUAAUAUCUUGAACCGCAGGGUUCAAAAGUGAAAGAGGGUCUUGCUGUCACUUCGAGAUGUAUCCGCGCUGCAUUAGCUAGUUGGUAAGGUGACGGCUUACCAAGGCAACGAUGCAUAGCCGACCUGAGAGGGUGAUCGGCCACACUGGAACUGAGACACGGUCCAGACUCCUACGGGAGGCAGCAGUAGGGAAUCUUCCGCAAUGGGCGAAAGCCUGACGGAGCAACGCCGCGUGAGUGAUGAAGGUCUUCGGAUCGUAAAACUCUGUUAUUAGGGAAGACCAUAUGUGUAAGUAACUGUGCACAUCUUGACGGUACCUAAUCAGAAAGCCACGGCUAACUACGUG